GCCGGGCGUGGUGGCGGGCGCCUGUAAUCCCAGCUACUUGGGAGGCUGGGGCAGGAGAAUUGCUCAAACCCGGGAGGCAGAGGUUGCAGUGAGCCAAGAUCGUGUCACUGCACUCCAGCCUGGGUGACAGAGCAAGACUCUGUCUCAG
ensembl:misc_RNA Metazoa_SRP Metazoan signal recognition particle RNA